AAUUUUGGAUAAUGGGGGAAACCCUGAUCCAGCCAUCCCGCGUGUAUGAGGAAGGCGUUCGGGUUGUGAAGUACUUUGGGCAUAGAAGAAAAGGUAUCACCGAAUACGUGAUAGAGCUGACGGUACGUGCAGAAUAAGCACCGGCUAACGACGUGCGAGCGGCCGGGGUAAGACGUAGGGUGAAAGGGUUAAUCGGAAUUACUGGGCGUAAAGCGUGUGUAAGCCGUUCGGAUAGAAAUAUGUGAAAUCCCAUGGCUCAACCUUGGGACUUCAUUUUUAACUUCCGGGCUAGGGUAUGUCAGAGGGGAGUAGAAUUCCACGUGUAGCAGUGAAAUGCGUAGAUAUGUGGAGGCAUCCCGAUGGCGGAGGCAGCCCCCUGGGAUAAUACUGACGCUCAGACCCGAAAGCGUGGGGAGCAAACAAG
rnacentral:rRNA from 1 species